rnacentral:rRNA from 1 species
AUACGUAGGGGGCAAGCGUUAUCCGGAUUUACUGGGUGUAAAGGGAGCGUAGGUGGCAAAUCAAGUCAGAUGUGAAAGCCCGGGGCUCAACCCCGGGAUUGCAUUUGAAACUGGUAUGCUAGAGUGCAGGAGAGGUAAGUGGAAUUCCUAGUGUAGCGGUGAAAUGCGUAGAUAUUAGGAGGAACACCAGUGGCGAAGGCGGCUUACUGGACUGUAACUGACACUGAGGCUCGAAAGCGUGGGGAGCAAACAGGAUUAGAUACCCGGGUAGUCCACGCCGUAAACGAUGAAUACUAGGUGUCGGGGGUCAAAAGACCUUCGGUGCCGUCGCAAACGCAUUAAGUAUUCCACCUGGGGAGUACGUUCGCAGGAAUGAAACUCAAAGGAAUUGACGGGG